AAUCCAUCGUGGCCUUUAUCUUUUAGUCCUCUGAAGAGCGUUGAGAAUGGAAAUCAUAAGAUAUUUUUUCCAUUAGGAAGUUCUUUUUACAAGGCGUUUAUUCAGGUUGACUUCUCGGCACCCCGCGGGGCGGGCAACGGGCAGGGCCUCCAGUGCACCUUCUGCGCAGUGGAGCCGCGGGGGCCCAGCUGGGCGGUGGUCGGGUCGUGAGGCGGGAGGGCGGGAGCGGGGGAAGGGAAAAGCAAAAGCGGGGAAAGAAGCCGGGGAGCGGUGGACCAGACAUUCAGACCUCCUGAAAGGCUCGUGCGGAGGCAGAGGCGGGAUCUUCCGGAGGUUCAAACAAUACAGAAGUGUAUAAAGUAAGAAUUGAAAGUCUCUUCGCUGCUCUAAUCUCACUCCUCAGAGGUGAUCACUGGUAAGUAUGGUAUAUAUCUUUUCAGGUACACAUACACACACACACACACACACAAACUUCACUUUUAUAAUAAUGAGAUUCUACUGAACAUGCUGUUUUACAAUUUGUUUUUGUACUCAGCAAUAUGUUGUUCUUGGGGUACACAGAGCUGUACCUCACUCUUUUUUUUUUUUUUUUUUUUGAGACGGAGUCUCACUUUGUCACCCAGGCUGGAGUGCAGUGGCACAAUCUUGGCUCACUGCAAGCUCUGCCUCCCAGGUUCACGCCAUUCUCCUGCCUCACCUCAGCCUCACAAGUAGCUGGGACUACAGACGCC
rnacentral:lncRNA from 1 species